AAAAAUCAAUUUUUAUGUUCUCCCCCAACCGACAGUGAGCUUCACGGUGACAUCUAUUCUAAUCUACACUGACUUUCACCCUACUUCGACCACAACCAGACUUUCAUAGUUAAUAGGGUGGUAAUUUUGCUGGUUUCGACAUUAUGUACAUGCAUGAGUUUAAUCACCCCUCCCUCCUCUUUUCCUUUUCAGUUAUGAGAUUAAAGUGAGGGAAUGACAAGAGAAGAUCAUGAACCAACGAAAAUUACAGAUGUGUUGAAAUUUGUUGUCAGAAUCUGUUUGAAUGAUGAACUUCAUGCAUACAAUUGUUGUGGUUGUCACAACUGGAAUCUAUUAAACAAAAUCAAAUACUUGAUAAUAACUACCUCUCCACACUGUUAUGUUUCUUGUUUUUUCGUUUUCAAUAAUUUGAUCGGUUUUAGACUUUUGAUUUAUUUUCAAUUAGAAGUAAAUGAAUGAAGGAAAAAGAUAACAGAAAAAGUUGAUUUUACUUUUACUAUCAUUUUCCUAUGCUUUUUA